CAGAGCAGAGCUGACCCUUAUCUGAUCACACCGACUGGCACUCCCAUCUUCACUGACUCAUUUGGCAGGAAAAGCAGCUCACCUGCCAAAGCGUGGGCUGACCUGUGUGACCCCGGGGGGGGGUCAGUGACAUCCAUCAAGCCACAGCCGUACUCUGGUAAGUUCGGUGGUGGGGAAGAAAGAUAAUGCAGAAGGGAGGCGAAGGUGCAGGGUGGAGGCAGCUAACAGGCACCAGAAUCUGCUAAGAGGGAAAUAACACUGUCUUCGAUGGGAUGGAACCCAAGGCCCUACCACAGUGGCUAUGGACUCAAUGACCCCAGGGAGGAGGUGGGACCAGGAAGCCCCUGACAAGGCUACUAGGUGGCUCUUGGCAACAGUUGUCUCAUUCAGCCUUGAGGGAAACUCCAUUUAUAGGUGGGAAAGUACUUCUGCCGUGGAGUCUCAAGUUCCCACCCGCCGCCUUUUGGAUGGAAAGAUGUGCCAAGAUUCAGGCCAAGGCCACCACAAGAACAUCUGACUCCAUUUCUGCUCUAGCUGUGCAGAUGGGAAAACCGAGGCCUGAAAAGUGACUUUGCUGAGGUCACUCAGCGAGUCAUUGGUGGAACUGGAUUCCAACUCCAUCUGGAUCACCACACUCCGCAGUGUCACUAUGCUGGGCUUCCAAGAUGGAGCAACCACCAGGUGGCAGGGAGAGGACUGGGCUAUCUGCUUCUCUGCUGUCGCUUGGGAGACUGAAAGGCACAAUUCCCAUUAAGAUCCAGUGAAUAUAUACCUAUCGCCCCUCCUGACACCUACCCAGGAUAAACCUGGGAUUAUCCACUGCCCUGAAUAUCUUACAGUCUGUUGU